AGUGAACGCUGGCGGUAGGCCUAACACAUGCAAGUCGAACGGCAGCACAGUAAGAGCUUGCUCUUACGGGUGGCGAGUGGCGGACGGGUGAGGAAUACAUCGGAAUCUACUUUUUCGUGGGGGAUAACGUAGGGAAACUUACGCUAAUACCGCAUACGACCUACGGGUGAAAGCAGGGGAUCUUCGGACCUUGCGCGAUUGAAUGAGCCGAUGUCGGAUUAGCUAGUUGGCGGGGUAAAGGCCCACCAAGGCGACGAUCCGUGGCUGGUCUGAGAGGAUGAUCAGCCACACUGGAACUGGGACACGGUCCAGACUCCUACGGGAGGCAGCAGUGGGGAAUAUUGGACAAUGGGCGCAAGCCUGAUCCAGCCAUACCGCGUGGGUGAAGAAGGCCUUCGGGUUGUAAAGCCCUUUUGUUGGGAAAGAAAAGCAGCAGGUUAAUACCCCGCUGUUCUGACGGUACCCAAAGAAUAAGCACCGGCUAGCUUCGUG
rnacentral:rRNA from 1 species